ncrna:Furfurilactobacillus rossiae DSM 15814 L31-Firmicutes ribosomal protein leader
CUAUGACUCAGCAAAUGACUCAUGGCAAAGGAG